rnacentral:rRNA from 1 species
AUGCCGGGCAUCCCAUGCAGGCUGGCCGAACACAGCCUCAAUAUACUGAAAGGAUACAAGCCAGUCAAGCAGACUCUUCGAUGCUUCUCAGAACCUAAGCGGCAAGCCAUGGGAGAAGAGCUAGCCAAGCUACUUGAAGCCGGAUUCAUCAGAGACAUCAAACAUCCGGAUUGGCUAGCAAACUUGGUAAUGGUACCAAAAAAGGACAAAUCAUGGCGCUUGUGUGUCGAUUUCAAAGACCUCAAUAAAGCUUGCCCCAAGGAUCCCUUCCCCCUCCUCCGCAUUGAUCAGAUAAUCGAUGCCACCACAGGACACGACUCAUUGUGUUUCCUCAACGCAUACUCCGGAUACCAUCAAAUAAAGAUGGCAGAGUCCGACCAGGCUGCAACAGCCUUCAUCACCCCAUACGGCCCCUUCUGUUUCAACACCAUGCCCUUCGGGCUCAAAAACACCGGCGCAACCUAUCAACGCAUGAUUCAAACAUGCCUGGAAAAACAAAUCGGCAAGACAGUAGAGGCCUACGUAGACGACGUGGUCAUCAAAACAAGACACGUUGAAACCUUAAUAGACGACUUGAGGCUCACGUUCGAUAAUCUCCGAACAUACGACAUCAAGCUCAACCCGGAGAAAUGCGUCUUCGGAGUACCCUCCGGAAAAUUGCUUGGCUUCAUUGUUUCCAAUAGAGGAAUUGAAGCCAAUCCGGCAAAAAUCCGAGCUCUGUCAAGCAGAUCCAGAAACUAA